GAAUAUUGGACAAUGGGGGGAACCCUGAUCCAGCCAUGCCGCGUGUGGUAAGAAGGCCUUUUGGUUGUAAAGCACUUUAAGGGAGGAGGUGGUGCUCUUGGUUAAUACCCAAGAUGCUUGGACGUUACUCGCAGAAUAAGCCACGGCUUAACCUGUUCCAGCACCCGCGGUAAUACAGGGGGUGCAAGCGUUAAUGGGAUUUACUGGGCGGAAAGACGGCGUAGGAGGCCGAUUAAGGAAAAGAUGAAAUCCCCCAGCUUAACUUGGGAAUUGAAAUCGAUACUGGGUGGUUAGAGUAUGAGAGAGGAUGGUAGAAUUCCAGGUGUAGCGGUGAAAAGCGUAGAGAUCUGGAGAAAUACCGAUGGCGAAGGCAGCCAUCUGGCCUAAUACUGACACUGAGGUGCGAAAGCAUGGGGAGCAAACA
rnacentral:rRNA from 1 species